AGUGAGGAGAGCUUGACAAAGACUAUCAAUUCUUCCUUAAUGCUAACUACAUUGCUUCUGUUAUUAUUUUUCAUUCAAGGAAAUAUUUUUUGCUUUACCCUUAUGAUAGUAUGAUAGUAUUGAUAUCAACUUUAUUAGGGUUCAAUAAAGUCCAAUUCUUCGAUAACUACACUCAAAAUAUUGUCACUUCAUCGUUUAGCGAUUGUGAUAUCUUAGAUAAAACUAUUUGUAUGACUGUUUAUGGUGUAUACAAUGAUGUAGAAGUUACAAUAAACAUUACAAGUACUACAAGA